GGUGACCGGACACUGAGACACAGCAGGAGCCGAGGACUCAGCAGGAAGAGCCAGGACUUUGUCACACACAGACUGGGAGAGCAUAAAAGUUCAGUGCUUCCUUUGUCUAGGUCCCUCCUUGGAGGCACGAGCUCAAGCUGUUUCUGUGUUAUUGUACUGUUAAUAAAUUGCUUUAAGGAACCAGACUUUUGAGGCUCUGCUAAGGAAAACCCAGGCUCGAGACGGCACAUUGCUGUACCUGCUGUCCCCACUGCACAGGACUUCUCCCACCCCUGCUGAUUGGGUGUCCAGUGUUUCACCGAGCUUUAUAGCCAACUGCAACAAAAGCAUUCAGUGAUGGCACUGGGGUCUGAACGUGCAGCUGUGGAUCCCUUAAGGUAAUCAAUGAGUCGGGCUGAGGCAUGCCUGUGCAUUAGGAAAAUCUUUUUGAUGGCUGUCAGGAGCUGUUACGCCUGGUCUAGAGUUGACAUUCAUCCCAUUCUGGGGCA